CCUACGGGUGGCAGCAGUGAGGAAUCUUGGUCAAUGGCCGGAAGGCUGAACCAGCCAUGCCGCGUGAAGGUCAGUGCCCUAUGGGCUUUAAACUUCUUUUGUUCGGGAGUAAUAAUGGGCACGUGUUGCCAGACGAGAGUACCGUACGAAUAAGCAUCGGCUAACUCCGUGCCAGCAGCCGCGGUAAUACGUGGGAUGCAAGCUUUAUCCGGAUUUAGUGGGUUUAAAGGGUGCGCAGUCGGCCUGUUACGUCAGCGGUAAAAGCCCGGGGCUAAACCCUGGCGAGCCGUUGAAACUGGCGGGCUGGAGUUGUAGAGAGGUACGCGGAAGGCGCGGUGUAGCGGUGAAAUGCUUAGAUAUCGCGCAGAACCCAGAGUGCGAAGGCAGCGUACCGGCUCCACACUGACGCUGAGGCACGAAAGCGUGGGUAUCGAACAGGAUUAGAUACCCGAGUAGUC
rnacentral:rRNA from 1 species